rnacentral:misc_RNA from 1 species
GAUGAAGAACGCAGCGAAAUGCGAUAAGUAAUGUGAAUUGCAGAAUUCAGUGAAUCAUCGAAUCUUUGAACGCACCUUGCGCCCUUUGGCUAUUCCGAAGGGCAUGCCUGUUUGAGUAUCGUGAACACCUCAACUCUCAUGGUUUGCCAUGAUGAGCUUGGACUUGGGGGUUUUGCUGGCCUUCGGUCGGCUCCUCUCAAACGGAUCAGCUUUCCAGUGUUUGGUGGCGUCACGGGUGUGAUAACUAUCUACGCCUGUGGUUUUCUGCCAGAUAACCUUCAGCGAUGGAGGUUCGCUGGGGCUCAUAAAUGUCUCUCUUCAGUGGAGACAGCUUUUUGGACGUUUGAUCUCAAAUCAGGUAGGACUACCCGCUGAACUUAAGCAUAUCAUAAGCGGAGGA